rnacentral:rRNA from 1 species
UACGUAGGUGGCAAGCGUUGUUCGGAAUUAUUGGGCGUAAAGGGCGCGUAGCGGUUUGUUAAGUCGGUCGUGAAAGCCCGGGGCUCAACCCCCGGAGGGUCGACCGAUACUGGCAGACUAGAGUACAGAAGAGGUAACUGGAAUUCCCGGUGUAGCGGUGAAAUGCGUAGAUAUUGGAAAGACCACCGAUGGCGAAGGCACUCUACUGGGCCAUUACUGACACUGAGAGACGAAAGCUAGGGGAGCAAAUGGG